rnacentral:rRNA from 1 species
UACGGAGGGGGCUAGCGUUGUUCGGAAUUACUGGGCGUAAAGCGCGCGUAGGCGGACCUGCAAGUCGGGGGUGAAAGCCCGAGGCUCAACCUCGGAACUGCCUUUGAUACUGGAGAUCUUGAGUCCGGAAGAGGUAAGUGGAACUGCGAGUGUAGAGGUGAAAUUCGUAGAUAUUCGCAAGAACACCAGUGGCGAAGGCGGCUUACUGGUCCGGAACUGACGCUGAGGUGCGAAAGCGUGGGGAGCAAACAGG